AACAACUCUGCAACGAACGGAUGAUCUUGGUCUGGCACGAUGAAGAACGCAGCGAUGGAUAAGUAAUGGAUUGCAGAAUUCCGGAAUCAUCGA
rnacentral:rRNA from 1 species